rnacentral:lncRNA from 1 species
CGGCGUAACCAGCCAAGCUCCACCUGCAAGACAUAGUGCUCCACUAGAUUCCCUCUAUCCUUGGCUCGGUUCCAGAAUUUCAAGGAGAUCAUCGAGAGAUACAGUCGCAGCAACUCCAACAACGGCCUCCAUCUCAACCGUUGUCGGCCUCCAUCUCAACCGUUGUCGACCUCCAGCGCAAUAGGUGAGCCAAAGUCGAGUUUCAUGCUUCCUCUUCCAAUAGUUAUGCGAUUUAUUUUAGUAUUGUUACAAAAAUCAUAAAAAAAAGGGGGUAUAAGGUUUCUAAGUCAAUGUUUAAGUUAGAUUAGGAUUAAUUUCUCAACCAAUGUGAAAAUUAACUUGAUGGCUAUUGCUUUGAAUCAUGUUAUUUGAGGAAAACCAAGGUUCUAAGCUUCUGUUAAGCAAAAUUCUAAGAGAGUAUUUAAAAUAAUUUGCAAUUGAAACUAUACGUUGAAUGCUUGUAGAGUAACGACUAUAUUAAUGUAUUUCUUACAAGCUUUGAUAGGGGAUUAUAAUUUUUUUUUUAUAUAUUGACAGCAGCUUUAUUGUUGCCUUUAUGAGUUUG